AUACGGAGGAUGCGAGCGUUAUCCGGAUUUAUUGGGUUUAAAGGGUGCGUAGGCGGUCGGGUAAGCGUAGGGUGAAAGUCCUCUGCUCAACAGAGGAAGUGCCUUCCGAACUGUCCGACUGGAAUGCUCCUGCCGUGGGAGGAAUGUGUGGGGUAGCGGUGAAAUGCAUAGAGAUCACACAGAACACCGAUUGCGAAGGCAUCUCACGAAGGGGCUAUUGACGCUGAGGCACGAAAGCGUGGGGAUCAAACAGGAUUAGAUACCCUGGUAGUCCACGCAGUAAACGAUGAUGACUAACCGUCGGUCAAGACUGAUCGGUGGCCAAGCGAAAGCGAUAAGUCAUCCACCUGGGGAGUACGACCGCAAGGUUGAAACUCAAAGGAAUUGACGGGG
rnacentral:rRNA from 1 species